rfam:Gossypium arboreum cultivar AKA8401 contig_56238_1, whole genome shotgun sequence.
UAUUAAAAAAUCAUCUAUUUAUACUUUUAAAAAUUGACGUGAUUGAUAGAAUAACCCGAUAAUGACAUGUGACGUGCACAUGUAUCUCACGCUGAUGUAUAGUGACUAAUUUCUAAUAGUAAAAAUGGAUGAAAAUUUUAACA